CCUAUGGGCUUCCACGGCUUGUUACAUGGAUACCUUUACUUACUUUUACAUUUUACACAUUUAUUUUUCUUAAAAUCUGCCGUUAAUAUUUGCUCGAUCAUAUUGAUAUAACUCACGAUAGUAGGGUCUCAUUAAUUACAUACUUUCGUAUGUUAUUUAGUACAUGUACAUUACACAGCACGUUCUUCAAAGCUUCAUCGAAAAGAUGCUUCUCCUUACGAAGGAGAGCAAAGCCCAGACACAUCAUGGAAAUAUGAUAUUAAUACGGGCUGAAAAAUACCAAGCAACAGGCCAUAUAAGGUCCGCGCGCCGCAGGCUGAAAAACACUGAUUUGCAGUUUACUCGACCGCAUAUUUCAAGCUACGACUGUUACAGUCAACGGUUAAGGAGGAUUAAAUGGACUGACUAUGUAGCAUGCAUGACCUGAGAAAUUCGAAACCAAUUAGUUGGAUAGCUCGAAGCAAAGAUUCCGCUUGGGAGAUCUAGGAGUAUACCGGUUGAUAAUAUUAAAAUAGAUGGCAAGAUGAAUUACAGCGUGACGAGGGUGUGAAAUUGAUUGAACUGACUCAGGAUAAGUUUCAGUGUCGACGUCUUCCGAAUACAAGAAUAAAUAUUCCGGUUUCAUAAAUGGCAGGGGAUUUAAGUGUUAGUUCGAACGCGAAAACAAGAAAUAUACAGGCUUACCGAAUACUUUGUGGGUAAAAUACAAGGUAAGACGAGACCGAAUUGCAGAGUGGAGAUAUAGCUUCACCAUUCUUAACCUUGAGACUAGAUGGAGGUGAGUGGUCAGCUGCACGCUCCUACCAGUUUACCCCCGGGGAAUCUCUCCUGGUACCCACUGCAUAGAGGACUGGGUCUACGCUUUCAUGUUCCCACUUACCGCAGUCCAUGGAGUCAACAGCUGAGGAUCACAUAAGUGUCCACGUUGGUUAGCCAAAUGUUCGAGUUUUCCUAACCCAUGGUGGACUAAUGGGAACACAUGAAGCAGUCUACGCAGGGUGCCAAUUGUCGGAAUUUCCGGAUUUGCUGAUAAAGGACUCAAGAGUCAGUAAUUGCAUUGCCAAGGGCAGGCAAUCGUGAAAGAAAGCAUGUGAAGCACACUGAAGACAAUUUCACACAACUCCAGUUACCGGAAGAACGCUGAAAAGCUCUCACGUCUGUUCCGGGAUCGACCCCAGACGGCGCUUGAGACCGCCUUCUUUUGGACUGAAUACGUCAUCAGACAUGGUGGGGCGCCACAGUUGCGUUCUGCUGCAGUGGAUCUCACUUGGUAUCAAUAUCUCCUGGUAGAUGUAAUAGCAGUGAUUGUGCUGUCCGUCAUCAUUGUAUUCGUGUCUCUGUAUGUCAUCUUCAGGAAAAUCAUCUCUACUUGUGCCGGGAGUAUGCCUAGAAAACUGAAAUCCAACUGAGAAGGAAAACGAAACAAUGUGAACUAGUGUUACAUGUCCGUUGUCAUGCUUCGUAUUAAAUUGUAUACAGAUUAAUGAUUUGUCUUGGUUAAUAAUUUACUUUUACAUAAAUUAAUUUUUUUAGAUAAAAAGUGGGCCGUUCAAGGUAGCUGCGCGGUCUAAGGCAAGAACUGUCUUCGCUCUCUCGGACCCUGGGAUGGUGGGUUCGAAUCCCAUUUAAUGCAUGAAUGUUUGGUGUGUGUAUGCGUUUAUUCUGUGUUUGUUUUGGCCAGUGUUUAGGCAUAGGCUUUGCGACAAGCUGGUCACUCGUCCAAGGAGUCCCACCGGCUGUGAAAAAUGAUUAUGGAACUGGAAAACCAGGGCCCCAAAUGGGCUGGAAGAGCCAUUAUAAAAUGACACAACAUGUUAUGACAUAACAUGACAUAAGCCAGUUAAAAUAUGCAAUAUUGAAAAAUUGCAUAACCCACAUUUGAAAAAAGCAUUUUAAAUAAACAUAUUUUAUAAGAAUGGCAACAGGCAGCGCUGGAUGCCACUGCUGGCAAAUCCACCUGGGGCAUGAGCACUAGACCCGCAUCUGCAGGCGGGAGAGUGUGUUUUUGGCAAAUCCACUUAACAACAGAAGAACAAGAUCUGCUAUCAGCUGGCCAAAAAAAAACUACUGUUAGUAAACCGCACAUCGACGCACUUUCAAUGACGUCAGAGACUGUCUUUGGCAAACCCACCUAUUGAUAGGAACAUUUUUAACACCAGCGCGUGCGCACUCAUAUUAGCACAUACUCUACUGUAGCCCUUUAUAGAUGUGUAUUUUUUG